rnacentral:rRNA from 1 species
CUAAGCCAUGCGAGUCAAAUGUUCUUCGUGAACAUGGCGUACUGCUCAGUAACACGUGGAUAACCUGCCUUAGGACUGGCAUAACCCCGGGAAACUGGGGAUAAUUCCGGAUAGUUCAUGGUAGCUGGAAUGCUCCAUGAUCGAAAGCUAUUGCGCCUAAGGAUGGGUCUGCGGUCUAUCAGGUAGUAGUGGGUGUAAUGUACCUACUAGCCGACGACGGAUACGGGUUGUGGGAGCAAGAGCCCGGAGAUGGAUUCUGAGACAUGAAUCCAGGCCCUACGGGGCGCAGCAGGCGCGAAAACUUUACAAUGCGGGAAACCGCGAUAAGGGGACACCGAGUGCCAGCAUCUUAUGUUGGCUGUCCGCAUGUAUAAAUCACAUGUGUUAGCAGGGGCCGGGCAAGACCGGUGCCAGCCGCCGCGGUAACACCGGCGGCCCGAGUGGUGGCCACUAUUAUUGGGUCUAAAGGGUCCGUAGCCGGUUUGGUCAGUCUUCCGGGAAAUCUGACGGCUUAACCGUUAGGCUUUCGGGGGAUACUACCAGGCUUGGGACCGGGAGAGGUAAGAGGUACUACGGGGGUAGGAGUGAAAUCUUGUAAUCCUCGUGGGACCACCAGUGGCGAAGGCGUCUUACCAGAACGGGUCCGACGGUGAGGGACGAAAGCUGGGGGCACGAACCGGAUUAGAUACCCGGGUAGUCCCAGCCGUAAACUAUGCUCGCUAGGUGUCAGGGACGGUGCGACCGUUUCUGGUGCCGCAGGGAAGCCGUGAAGCGAGCCACCUGGGAAGUACGGUCGCAAGGCUGAAACUUAAAGGAAUUGGCGGGGGAGCACUACAACGGGUGGAGCCUGCGGUUUAAUUGGACUCAACGCCGGAAAACUCACCGGGGGCGACAGCAAUAUGUAGG